CCUACGGGAGGCAGCAGUAGGGAAUAUUGCUCAAUGGGGGAAACCCUGAAGCAGCAACGCCGCGUGGAGGAUGAAGGUUUUCGGAUUGUAAACUCCUUUUGUUAGAGAAGAUAAUGACGGUAUCUAACGAAUAAGCACCGGCUAACUCCGUGCCAGCAGCCGCGGUAAUACGGAGGGUGCAAGCGUUACUCGGAAUCACUGUGCGUAAAGAGCGCGUAGGCGGGAUAGCAAGUCAGAUGUGAAAUCCUAUGGCUUAACCAUAGAACUGCAUUUGAAACUGUUAUUCUAGAGUAUGGGAGAGGUAGGUGGAAUUCUUGGUGUAGGGGUAAAAUGCGUAGAGAUCAAGAGGAAUACUCAUUGCGAAGGCGACCUGCUAGAACAUAACUGACGCUGAGGCGCGAAAGCGUGGGGAGCAAACAGGAUUAGAUACCCCAGUAGUC
rnacentral:rRNA from 1 species